rnacentral:rRNA from 1 species
GACGAAGGGGGCUAGCGUUGUUCGGAAUUACUGGGCGUAAAGCGCGUGUAGGCGGUUAUCCAAGUCGGGUGUGAAAGCCUUGAGCUCAACUCAAGAAAUGCACUCGGUACUGGGUGACUAGAGGACCGGAGAGGAUAGUGGAAUUCCCAGUGUAGUGGUGAAAUACGUAGAGAUUGGGAAGAACACCAGUGGCGAAGGCGGCUAUCUGGACGGUUUCUGACGCUAAGGUGCGAAAGCGUGGGGAGCAAACAGG